rnacentral:rRNA from 1 species
GACGAACCGUGCGAACGUUGUUCGGAAUCACUGGGCUUAAAGGGCGCGUAGGCGGGCUGUCCAGUCUGGGGUGAAAUCCCACGGCUCAACCGUGGAACUGCCUUAGAUACUGACGGCCUCGAGGGAGAUAGGGGCAUGCGGAACUGUAGGUGGAGCGGUGAAAUGCGUUGAUAUCUACAGGAACUCCGGUGGCGAAGGCGGCGUGCUGGAUCUCUUCUGACGCUGAGGCGCGAAAGCUAGGGGAGCAAACGGG